rnacentral:rRNA from 1 species
GAUGAACGCUGGCGGCGUGCCUAACACAUGCAAGUCGAGCGAAAAGACGAUAAGCUUUUUCCUCUACCGUUAGCGGCUGGCGGGCGAGUAACACAUACAUAACCUUCUUCUAAUUCUGGGAUAACUUCGUGAAACCGCUGCUACUACUAGCUAAUACAAUCUACCGCAUGGAUCAAUAGUGAUAGACAGCUUUCGCGAUACUUAUAGCUGGAUCCGUGCCGCAUUAGCUAGUUGGUAAGGUAACGGCUUACCAAGGCAACGAUGCGUAGCCGACCUGAGAGGGUGAUCGGCCACACUGGAACUGAGACACGGUCCAGACUCCUACGGGAGGCAGCAGUAGGGAAUCUUGCGCAAUGGGCGAAAGCCUGACGGAGCAACGCCGCGUGAGUGAUGAAGGUCUUCGGGUCGUAAAACUCUGUUAUUGGGGAAGAGCAGAUGUGUAAGUAACUAUGGCCGUCUUGACGGUACCUAAACAGAAAGCCACGGCUAACUACGUG